AACGCGAAGAACCUUACCCAGGCUUGACAUGCACAGGACAGCUUCAGAAAUGAAGCCUCCCUUCGGGGCCUGUGCACAGGUGCUGCAUGGCUGUCGUCAGCUCGUGCCGUGAGGUGUUUGGUUAAGUCCAGCAACGAGCGCAACCCUUAUCAUUAGUUGCCAACAUUUAAGGUGGGAACUCUAAUGAGACUGCCUGGGUUAACCAGGAGGAAGGUGAGGAUGACGUCAAGUCCGCAUGGCCCUUAUGUCUGGGGCUACACACGUGCUACAAUGGCCGGUACAGAAGGCAGCGAAACCGCGAGGUGAAGCAAAUCCAAAAAACCGGCCCCAGUUCAGAUUGUAGUCUGCAACUCGACUACAUGAAGACGGAAUUGCUAGUAAUGGCGAGUCAGCAACAUCGCCGUGAAUACGUUCCCGGGCCUUGUACACACCGCUCGUC
rnacentral:rRNA from 1 species